rnacentral:lncRNA from 1 species
CUAAUAUGUCAUGAGGCAAGUGGUUCAGGCUCUCAGGGAAGCUCAACUAUCCAUGAUCAUUCACACUGGGGCUGGAGGAAUUCCUCUUUGCAUGAGGGAGCAAGAAUUAUCAGUAUGUUGGCCAUUCAAUCUAUAAGAAGAAAAGAGAGUGAGAGUCUAGGGCAAGCAAUUUCCUUUCAAAACAAGAGAUCAAGAAAGUUAAAGAACUCCCCCUCACUUUCUAUGUAUUAGAUUGGAGACAAAUGGCCAUAAAAAGCUAUGUACAAAAGAGACAAAGAAUAGUCCUCAGCUGCGUGACCAUAUCCUCAGACAAUUCAUUAUCAUCACACAUGAAGGGAAUAACACAUUUUGGGUGGACAUUAGGAAUGUGCUAUAAAAAAAAAAGGAAUGUGCUAUAUAAAAUUAAAAGAUUUGAGUAAUAUAAUAUUGAUUUUCUUUCUUAUAUAAGCAUUUGAAAAGCAAUUAUAAUUCUUUCUGUCUACAGGUUCAGUUGGACAUUUUAUUCAUUUCUAAUCCUCUAGACUUCCUUCAUGACAUCAAGGAUAUUGUAAUAAUUUUCUAACCUACAUGACUCCUUAGGGCUGGGUUACAAUGAUUACAUUCCAAGUACUUCUAGAAACACAGGGGCGCUCAGGGAGGAAACAGAAGGAACUGACAUCAAACCUGCCAUUUAAGGGUGAACAGCUUAUUGAAUGCUUAUUUUGCUACAUCAAGCUGAAAAUGUUAAAUGAUAAAGCAAAGUACUUCCUGAAUCAAUAUGAGACAUGUCUCCAUUAUCAAUGGUAAGACUCUUCAAAUUGCAUUGUUGACAUUUUGUGUGUGCGGGGUAGCUAACUAUGGAUGGGCAAAUAGCCAACGAUAGAUG